rnacentral:rRNA from 1 species
UACGGGGGGGGCAAGCGUUGUUCGGAAUUACUGGGCGUAAAGGGCUCGUAGGCGGCCAACUAAGUCAGACGUGAAAUCCCUCGGCUUAACCGGGGAACUGCGUCUGAUACUGGAUGGCUUGAGAUUGGGAGAGGGAUGCGGAAUUCCAGGUGUAGCGGUGAAAUGUGUAGAUAUCUGGAGGAACACCGGUGGCGAAGGCGGCAUCCUGGACCAACACUGACGCUGAGGAGCGAAAGCCAGGGGAGCAAACGGG